rnacentral:lncRNA from 1 species
GGAAUUCUUCCUACUUGGAGGUAAACAGCUAUAAAAGCAGUGACACACUUCCUGGCUCACAAAAGUCUAUGCUUGGAAGGAAGGAGUUAAUUAUUUCUCUGUACUGAGUGAGUCGAUCCUGGGGGGUGUUUGCUUUGCUCUUACUUAAUUCUUUCGGGUGCCUGGGCAGCCCUUCAGAGUCUAGUUAAAUAUUCCCAGUCUCAGUGCUGUGAUUUUAGAAGCCACUGCAAAAGUACAAGUGGUAUGUGAGGCUGAUCCAUGAAGGAGUGAGGUGAGCCCACACGCCCGCCUCUUGGGUUUAGCCCAUAACAUAUCACAGUUAGAAAGCCAUAAAUCACAUAGUGCCUCACGGUGAGAAAGUCACCUUAGGGCCAGAAGAAGAGACCUCCCGACGCCCAAGCUCAGAUUGGUGCCCCUGAUACCGAUCUUAACCGUCACUGAU